AAAGAAUCAGCUUAGAAGCAAAGAGAGAAAGGAAGAAAAGAGAAAGAAAGAAAAGAGAAAGAAGAAAAAGACAAAGAAGGUUUGGCCUAGUGGUUCCAAGCUAAGGAAGCAAAGGUCUUCCAAGAAUUGAAAGAAAUAAAUCCAUGCAUGUAGGUCGAUUUUGGAAUGUAUGGUGAUUUUGAGCUAGAUAAGCAAUGAGAAUGAUGACCAUGGAUGUGCGGAAAUUGUGAACCAUAUGCAGAACUCAAGCUAAAACCGAGAGGAAAGUUUGUCGUAGUAGCAUGCCGGACGAGGUAACGAGUGACUGGCAAGAAAAGUUAGCUAGAUACGCACUUGAAUUGAUAACAACGUAGCAUCCCGCUAUUGUAAGCCAACAUCAACGAGACUACCAUGGCAUGUGGGAAUCCGGUGGAGUGGUGU